AUUGAACGCUGGCGGAAUGCUUUACACAUGCAAGUCGAACGGUAGAGGGGGCAACCCCUUGAGAGUGGCGAACGGGUGAGUAAUAUAUCGGAACGUGCCCAGUCGUGGGGGAUAACGUAGCGAAAGUUACGCUAAUACCGCAUACGAUCUACGGAUGAAAGCGGGGGACCGUAAGGCCUCGCGCGAUUGGAGCGGCCGAUAUCAGAUUAGGUAGUUGGUGGGGUAAAGGCCCACCAAGCCAACGAUCUGUAGCUGGUCUGAGAGGACGACCAGCCACACUGGGACUGAGACACGGCCCAGACUCCUACGGGAGGCAGCAGUGGGGAAUUUUGGACAAUGGGCGCAAGCCUGAUCCAGCAAUGCCGCGUGCAGGAAGAAGGCCUUCGGGUUGUAAACUGCUUUUGUACGGAACGAAACGGUCUGGGUUAAUACCCUGGGCUAAUGACGGUACCGUAAGAAUAAGCACCGGCUAACUACGUG
rnacentral:rRNA from 1 species